GAGUCUUUAGCUCAGUUGGUUAGAGCACCUCACUUUUAAUGAGGGAGUCGAUGGUUCGAGUCCAUCAAGACUCA
rnacentral:tRNA from 1 species